rnacentral:lncRNA from 1 species
CUCGAACUCCUGACCUCAGCUGAUCCACCCACCUCAGCCUCUCAAAGUGCUGGGGUUACAGGCGUGAGCCACCGCGCCCGGCUGCACCUACUCUUAGAGAAUUCUCAGGCCCCACGCCUUACCCCAACUUCUGUUACCAGUGGUGAAUCCAAUGGGUCUGCAGCAAACUUGAUGCUUGCCUUCUCAAAGACAGAACUCAGCUGAGGGGCAGAGGUGGUUUUAAGUGGUUUUAAGGCACAGGGAGAGACCAAGGCAAGUUUUAGAGCAGGAGUGAGAGUUUAUUAAAAAGUUUUAGAGCAGGAACAAAAGGAAGUACACUACACUUGGGUCAGGCAGGCAACUUGAGAGAUCUAAGUGCCCUGCCUGACCCUUAACUUGGGGUUUUAUGUAUUUGGCAUAGUUCUGGGAUUUACGUCUCAUCUCCCCUGAUUCUUCCCUUGCAGCAGGCUGUCCGCGUAAAAUCGCCCGACAGUCGUUGCUUUAGUGAGUGAAUGUUGACCUAAGCGUCACUUCGCCUGUCUUGAGUCUAGGUCGGGGAGUGGGUUCAGUUAGCCAAUCAGAGAACGCUGAUGGGGCGACCAGUAUAUGCUCAUGAAAUGGGUGGCUGACCUCUUGGGGUCAGAAGAGGGAAAAGUUUUACUGUGUGUUGGCUAAGGACCAUUUUAAGUCCUUCAGUGACCGAUUACCACAUGAGAACACAAGAGGGCGCUCUAACUAAUGAGUUCCGCGGCCGAGAAAACUCCUGGAGUGGGUGCUCCUGGGAUGCUUCAGGUUUAGACACCGGGGUUACGGCAGCUGCCGAGGAAGGCUAAAGCCAGCGUCCUGGAUUCAGACAGACCUUUUAGCCAUUAAAUCCACUAAGAAAGAUCCCUGCGCAUGAAGUUUCCUCCUCGGAAAUAUAGGCAGAAGGGAAAGUAAUUUUAAACUCAUGUGUGCUCCACAGGCCGGGGGCGGUGGCUCAUGCCUGCAAUCCCAGCACUUUGCGAGGCCAAGGAGGGAGGAUCACUUGAGCCCAGAAGUUCGAGACCAGCCUGGGCACCAUGGUGAAACCUCAUCUCUGCAAAAAAAAAAUUAAAAAUUAGCCAGCUAUGGCGGCUCACGCCUCUGGUCCCAGCUACCCAGGAAGCUGAGAUGGGAGGAUCGCUUGAGCCCAGGGGUUCGAGGCUGCGGUGAGCCAUUGUUGUGCCACUGCACUCCAGCCUGGGCAACAGAGCAAGCCCCUGUCUCAACAAAACAAAACAAAACAAAAAAUUCAGUCGUGCUGCAUAAGUAAGGCACCAGGAGUAGGAAUAGGGUCUUUGCAGCUCCCGUGGCAAUUGCCCUUCUCUGGUGGUGGCAAGGGACUAAGGAACUCCCUGGACACAGGGGAUCUGGCUGUCCCCAGAUCAUCAACAGAGACAUGAAGGUCGUUAGAGGUCGUCUGAUCCUUUGACCUCAAUCUGAGCCCACCACUCAGAAAACCUGGAAAUUGUAUGACAUUUUCGUGAUACAACUCGGUGUGUGUGUGUUGGGGAAAGGAACCAACAGCUUUCAUCAUAUUGUCAAAAGAGUCUAGGCUGGGCAUGGUGGCUCACGCCUGCAAUCCCAACCCAAAGGCCUGUGGAGCACACAUGAGGACAAGGCGGGCAGAUCACCAAAGGUCAGGCAUUCGAGAUCAGCCUGGCCAACGUGGUGAAACCCCAUCUCUACUAAAAAUACAAAAAUUAGCCAGGCGUGGUGACAUGUGCCUGUAAUCCCAGCUACUCGGGAGGCUGAGACAGGAGAACUGCUUGAACCCAGGAGGCGGAGGUUGCAGUGAGCAGAGGUUGCGCCGCUGCAGUCCAGCCCGGGCAACAAGAGCGAAUCUCCGUCUCAAAACAACAAAACAAAAACAUAGACCUGCUCGGUUCUCUCUGUGACUUCAGAGGCCCAAGGAGUCCUCAGCACUAUAGAUGCAUGUGGCCCCUCAGAAGACAACAUUUCACAGAUCUGCAAAGAGCAAAGGUCAAAUUUAUUUAAUACAACAUCCACGAGGGUCCCUGCAGCUGUGUCACUGAGGCAAACAGGAAAAGUGAUUUUGGCUAGGCGUGGUUCUCAUCUGUGAAAUUCCACAGCGCAAUGACAGCAGCCUCUCUCCCACCCACUCAAGACACUGUCAGGAAUGUCUUAAGACCUCAGGAGACCACUUCUUUAGCAAGCAAUUUUGUUUUUUGUUUUUUUUGAGAUGGAUUCUCACUCUGUCACUCAGGCUGGAGUGCAGUGGCGCGAUCUCCGCUCACUACAACCUCCGUUUCCUGGGUUCAAGCGAUAAUCUCACCUCAGCCUCUUGAGUAGCUGAUACUACAGGCAUGCGCCACCACGCCCGGCUAAUUCUUGUAUUUUUAGUAGAGACAGGGUUUCAUCAGGCUGGUCUCAAACUCCUGACCUCAGGUGAUCCGCCCACCUCAGCCUCCUGAAGUGCUGGGAUUACAGGCGUGAGCCACCUUGCCUGCCCUGGCAAGGAAUACAUUUUUAAAAAUUAGUAAGAAACAUACACAUUUCAAGUUUUCAAUUAAGAAUAAUAUUUGCUGAUGGCACCAUCUUCCUGUCUUUCAGCCUUCAGCAUGGUAGAGGAAAAGAGAAAGAGUGUAGACAAAAACAGUUGAAGAACAUCUGUGCUUGUUCCACCUUCAUUUUCUGUUUUGUGCGUUGCCUGAAUGAACGGUGUCUUCAGGUUGGUAUUUCACAGGCGGUGCUCCCAAGUAGUCUGGUUUUCCCAUUUGUGGAGGGCGAGGUCAUAGAGGGGACAGGGGGAGGCUGUCUGGUCAGCACUGUGUAUUUCCAAAGAACAAGGACUAGCCAAAACUACAAGCCUUUGAAGGACCAAAGGAAAAGAGAAAAAACCAGCCUCUAACCAGGCCAUGCGCUAGAAAUGAUUGAGUAUAAAAAAGAAAAUUGGUUUCUGUGUAUGAGGGUGCAUGGAAAAGGUCUUUAUCUCUGCACAAAACAAAAUAUUCAAGUUUCAGAAUAUCCCAAUGGCCUUGCCCUGGAUCUCCUCUUGUGCUCUUCCAAUUUCCAAGGAUGUUCCAACUUGGUGGAAGGAGGGUAUGUGGGAAAUUCAACAGCCCCUCUGUAUCUCUUUCUACCCAACAUUAACUUAGCAGGAUGGAUUUAAGAACCGGCAGCUUAGCCUGAGGAAUUGCUGUGUUCUGUGGGAGCAGGGCAGGUUCAUAAAUAAGUGCACAGAGGUCUUGAAAUACAGGGAUUAUCUGUUCUUCUCGGAACAUGGAUGUCCUUCCAGGGAUGUGCAUCUGGCCUUGCUGUCUAAGUUCCAUCAAGGGAGCCUUCCGUUCUCUGUAGCGACAAGAAACAAGGCAAGUUAUGAUCACACCUCUCAAGAUUGAAGAUUGCCCUGGUGGAGAGAAAUGCAAAAUGACAGCACUUCUCAAAGAAAAUGCAAAGCAGGGCUGUCACACACUGGUCCCCCACCCUGCAGGGUUCUCUCUGUGACUUCAGAGGCCCAAGGAGUCCUCAGCACUACAGAUACACGUGGCCCCUCAGAAGACAACAUUUCACAGAUCUGCAAAGAAUAAAGGUCAAAUUUACUUAAUACAACACCCACCAGGGUUCCUGCAGCUGUGUCACUGAGGCAAACAGGGAAAGUAAUUUUGGUUAGGUGUGGUUCUCACCUCUGAAAUUCCACAGCACAAUGACUGCAGCCUCUCUCCCACCCACUCAAGACAUUGUCAGGAACGUCUUAAGACCUCAGGAGACCACUUCUUUAGCAAGCAAUUUUUUUUAGAUGGAUUCUCACUCUGUCACUCAGGCUGGAGUGCAGUGGCGCGGUCUCUGCUCACUACACCCUCCCUCUCCUGGCUCCUGCCCGUAUGUAUUUCUCCUUCUCUCCAUGCCUGCUCUGUAGGGACCAUAGCCUCUGUCCCUGCAUACAUGUUGGACAUCAAUCACAUCAGUCCACCAAGUAACUUCAUCAAGCACCCAUGUACGCCCAGCACAGCGUCCCAAGGGUGCCCCACUUACCCACAGAAGAAGAAAGGCAACUUUGUAAGAGAUCUGACUUCUAGCUCCAGUUCUGUCUCUAGCUAACGUGAGAUGUACCCGUUUGAGGCCUGUUUUUUAAUUUUGAAAAUGAAGGACUGAACUUAGAUGGUCCAACUGAAAUGUUUUAAAAUGAUAUGAUUCUACCUUAAAAAGAGAAUGAAAUUCUGAUAUAUUUUCAACACAGGAAAACCUUGAAAACGUUAUGCUAAAUGAAAUAAGGCAGACAUGAAAGGACAAAUAUAUGAUUCCACUUAUGUGAUGUACCUCAAAUAGUCAAAUUCAUAGAGACAGAAAGUAGACAGUGGUUGCUAGGGGUUGCUGGAGGGGCAAUGGGGAGUUAGUGUUUAAUGGGUACAGUGUUUCAGUGGCUGCUCUGCCUAUGGAGUAGCCAUUCUUUUGUUUCUUUACUUCUCUAAUAAACUUGCUUUCACUUAAAAAGAAAAAGCUCUGGAGAUGGAUAGUGGUGGUGGUUGCACAGCAAUGUGAACGGACCUAAUGCAACUGAAUUAUACACUUUAAAAUGGUUAAGUAUACACUGGAAAAUGGUGAAUUUGCCGGGCGGGCGCAGUGGCUCACGCCUGUAAUCCCAACACUUUGGGAGGCCGAGGCGGGUG